UUUAUGGAGAGUUUGAUCCUGGCUCAGGAUGAACGCUGGCGGCGUGCCUAAUACAUGCAAGUCGAGCGAACAGACGAGGAGCUUGCUCCUUUGACGUUAGCGGCGGACGGGUGAGUAACACGUGGGUAACCUACCUAUAAGACUGGGAUAACUUCGGGAAACCGGAGCUAAUACCGGAUAAUAUUUCGAACCGCAUGGUUCG
rnacentral:rRNA from 1 species